rnacentral:rRNA from 1 species
CUACGGGCCGCACCAGUGAGGAAUAUUGGUCAAUGGGCGAGAGCCUGAACCAGCCAUGCCGCGUGCAGGAUGACGGCCCUAUGGGUUGUAAACUGCUUUUGUACGGGAAGAAUAGGCGCCACGUGUGGCGAUUUGACGGUACCGUACGAAUAAGCACCGGCUAACUCCGCGCCAGCAGCCGCGGUAAUACGGAGGGUGCAGGCGUUAUCCGGAUUUAUUGGGUUUAAAGGGUGCGUAGGCGGGCUUAUAAGUCAGUGGUGAAAUCUCGUGGCUCAACCAUGAAAUUGCCAUUGAUACUGUAGGCCUUGAGUAUAGUUGAGGUAGGCGGAAUGUGUCAUGUAGCGGUGAAAUGCUUAGAUAUGACCCAGAACACCAAUUGCGUAGGCAGCUUGCUAAACUAUUACUGACGCUGAUGCACGAAAGCGUGGGUAGCGAACAGGAUUAGAUACCCCGGUAGUC